rnacentral:rRNA from 1 species
UACGUAGGGUGCAAGCGUUAAUCGGAAUUACUGGGCGUAAAGCGUGCGCAGGCGGUUAUGUAAGACAGAUGUGAAAUGCCCGGGCUUAACCUGGGAACUGCAUUUGUGACUGCAUGGCUAGAGUUUGGCAGAGGGGGGGGUAGAAUUCCACGUGUAGCAGUGAAAUGCGUAGAUAUGUGGAGGAACACCGAUGGCGAAGGCAGCCCCCUGGGUCAAGACUGACGCUCAUGCACGAAAGCGUGGGGAGCAAACAGG